rnacentral:lncRNA from 1 species
UGUGGCCACUUGAUUGGAUCUGAACAAGGUAUGUAUUGUUUUGCCUAUUAUUCUAUAUCCAUCCUAGCCUCCCUUGCUAUGAAUCCGGUCACUUGAGGAGAUGAUCCUGACUCAUUAAGUUCUAGUUGCUUCUAGCUCUCAAGCCAACCAAUGAUCAGAUCCUCAUCAUAUUCAAAAUUAUUGUGAAGUGGAUCAUCAUAUUUCAAUUCCAUUUCUUCUCCAAUACACUUCAAUUGAUUCUCGAAUUGUGGUGAACAAAAUGAGACAGGAGGUAGAUUAGUUGUGCUCCUAGCCACUAGAGGAGAUCAGCUGCAAGAGGAUCCAGAUUGCCAAUCUCCUUAGGAUUUUCAAUGAUUGCCCCAAAAUAGAACUAUCAUUCACCUGCAAGCGCAGUCAAGCAAAUUAUCAGACAUUACUUAUCAUAAUAUACUAGACCAGUUAUACUCGAUGUCUAAAAAUAUCUGGAUUCAUACUUUGUUUACUUGCUGCAGCUAGCCUAUCACCGAAGCUAUGGGAGACCUCCGUAAAGCUUUCGCCUGUGAAACACAAAUAUGCUAUAUGAUGUCAAUGAUUUGCCAUUAAAAUUAACACAAAGUAAUGAUCCUACAUGCCAUUAAAAUUAACAUACCUUUUUCAGACAUUGGUCAACAACUUCCGGAUC